rnacentral:lncRNA from 1 species
GUGUAUGGGAAUGUAACUUUCCAUGUACCAAGCAAUGUGCCUUUAAAAGAGGUCCUAUGGAAAAAACAAAAGGAUAAAGUUGCAGAACUGGAAAAUUCUGAAUUCAGAGCUUUCUCAUCUUUUAAAAAUAGGGUUUAUUUAGACACUGUGUCAGGUAGCCUCACUAUCUACAACUUAACAUCAUCAGAUGAAGAUGAGUAUGAAAUGGAAUCGCCAAAUAUUACUGAUACCAUGAAGUUCUUUCUUUAUGUGCUUGUCAUUCAAGACACAGAUAUGCACUUAUACCCAUACCAUUAGCAGUAAUUACAACAUGUAUUGUGCUGUAUAUGAAUGGUAUGUAUGCUUUUUAAAACAAAA